AUCCCACGCGCUCUCUCCUCAGGAGCAGCAUCAAUUUCAUCGUACUUCUUGGGUGCAGACCCUCCCAUAGCAGCAAGCGCCAUGGUCAACGCAGCAGUCAGAGUGGUUUUCCCAUGGUCAACGUGCCCAAUUGUGCCUAUAUUGAUAUGGGGUUUCUUCCUUUCGAAUUUCCCACGCGCUGCGCGUACGGUCAGCCUGGUGGCGCGUGAGCGAAACGGGGAGGUGGGUGUUUGAAAUUGGGAGGACAACGUUGAUGGGUUGGCGAGAAAAGAGGAGGUGAGGAUAAAUUUCCGUGAACUUGUCGGAGAAAAGGCGGAAUUAGGGUUAGGGUUUGCAGGGUUUAUGAGGUUUAUAGAAGAAGAUAGAGCUGAAAUCGCCAUUUUUGCUUCCAGCAAACAAGAGGGGUUUGGAGAAUUUUGGGAGAGAUGAGAUAAUAACAAGGAGAUUGUGUGUUUUGUGUGAGUGUGUGUUCUCCUUUAUCUAUCUACAACACAACAUUUUGUAUCUAUAGUCUGUAGAGAUACAAUUUCUAACCUCAUAUCUCACCCUAUCCACUUUCACAAUUUCAAGAUAACAUUUUCAUUUUUACUGUUUUUCUAAAAUUAAAUAAAUAAAUUACAAAAAAAAAAUAAACAAACAAGAGAUUUGGGAAGAGUUUGCUAUGUGUUCAGAGUGAAUUUAUGGUUUGUAGAAAUUUUCAUUAUAAAUAUUUAUUUUUCUACUCCAAGUGUUCAUGAAAGGCACUAGUUGAUUUCUAAAUGCUUUGGUUUUUUAAGUUGUUUGUGACAUGUUCUUUGAUGUUUCAGUUUUGCUAAAUCUCUGGCUCUCUUGGAAAUUUUUGUGGUUGUUGAAGUGCAUUUGUGUCGCUCUGUAAACUACAUGCUACUCCAACCAACAAGUGAAAUUAUAUCUGAUAAAGCCAUCAAAUCCCAAAAAUAAAUUUUUUGUAAUCAAUACUUCUGCAGAGAAUAUUGGAUACAACUUGAUAUAACUCUAUAAAGCUCGUAUUGAUUCAUUUAAAUAAGAUCAUGGUGCAGAUAAUGACAUUAUUGUGAGCCGGUGAACCAUUUCAUAGCAAUCUGCCUUGCCACCCGAAAGACUGAAUCCAGUUCUGUACCUCCUGGAGGCACACAUCUAACUUGUUCUUAAGCGGAUUCAGUCUAUCCCUAAGAUAGUAGAGUUUAGCCCUCCUCACUUUCUUCUUGUCCAGCACCUUUAUCUCCUUUAUAUUAGGCGAAUACCUGCACCAGACACCCUAUUUGGUCACCAAGUGCAGGAAUGUCAAAGAAAAGAUGUAAUCAAAGCACAGAACCAAAAUCCUUAAGUGCUUUUAAUUAUUAUGUGAACAGGUUCACAUAAUCAAGCAAAAGACUUGCAGCAACAAGCAUGUCCAAGUAAAUAUACAAUCAGUAAUGUAUUAAUCUUUGAAGGUGAGAGGCCAUAUCUAACUUUGUAAAUUGAAUUGUACAUCAAGUAUAUUUAAACAGAACAGCUAGUACUUGGUAACUAGAAGACUAUCACUUUCAAAAAACUGGUACACCUCAUGAUAUAUGUUACAGUUCAUCGAGUUCUUUUGUAACCAACUCUUAACAUGACAAUAUCACUAAGUUCUGUCAAUUCACAAGAUACGAUGAAAGGCAAGAAGAGUAGUUGCAUUGUAGAUGCUGUAAGAUGAUAAAUUAAUUCAAGGGUCACAGAAUAGUCUCGCUUAGCAGCAAUUCGCCAUAUUUCAUUUGUUAUUACUAUUACAUAUACACCACCAGAGUUGAGCAUGAGCAAGUAAGAAUUUUAACACUGAGAGGAGAAAAAACGUAUUUCAGUGGACUAAAGCUAAUAAAUAUUCAUAGAGAGAAGUUCUGCAUGAGUAGGUUUCACCUUAUAAGAACUCUCGCAAACCAUUAUAUUGUGUUUGGUUGGAUAAUUUGGAAUGGACUGGAUGAUGGAUUGAAUUAAAGGGAAGUAAUGGAGGAAGGACGCAAGAUUUGAAAAUAAGAUAAUUCACUGUUAUGAGAUUUGGGAAGAGAACAGGGAUGAGGGAAACAGCUUCCAGAUAGACUGAAAACUUUUGCAACCUUUUGAAAAGCAUUUAUAUUAACUAAAUAACUAAUAGCACUGAAGAAGCCAUCUGCAGUAUAACAGAAUUCAUAUACACCACUUACCUAGACACACAGAGCAACUCAAGUCAUCGAAAAUAAUACAAGAAAGUCCGCGGCAGCCCCAGAAAAGCAGACAAGCAUACUGUAUUUUCAUAAUAUAGCCAGCCAUUAUAAAGUCAUCCAUGUAUAGAUUAUACAGCUGAACAGAAUCCCACAAUAACAAAGAAGGGCAUGUAUAUCAUUAUUUGUGAGCAAAUUGCAAUGAAACUGUGACAUCCAAAAUAUUUCAGUAACAGUUAUGCAUACAAAUUAUUAGUUAAUUCUUGCUGAAGUUGAGAUUGGAUACCAUGGACCCAUGAUCAAAACAGAAGUAACAAUAAGUAGACAGAUUUCUAUGAGGCAAAUCACAAUGUGAAGUAGUACAGAUAAUCAUUAAAUGCCAUUUGCAGUUGCAGAUAUACCGGUGACUUGUUGAAUAUGUAGCUAAGCAAGUGAUUUUAUGUUCAAUACACUCCUGAUCUAUAACUUCUCCACGGAGAAUAGUUGUAGAACUACAUAACUUUUAAGAGAGCAGCAUCAGCAUCUCAAGUAGAGCCGGCCAAACGGGCGGGCCGUGCCGGUUCGGGCCGGUUCAAACGGGUUCCGAACCGUCAUCGGUGGAACCGUAACCGGCCCGUCAAACUGGCGGUCCGUGCCGUGCCCGGGCCGGGCUGGGAAAAAGAAAGUCGUAACCGUGAUAUACGGUUUACACGGGUUUUGCGGUUCAGCGGUUCGGGCCGAAUAAUAACAUGCUGCGGUUCUACGGUUCGGUUAUACGGUUCACGGGUUUGCGCAUGUGACUUUGUGUUAGUAACUAAAGUACAACAGUUGUCAGUGGCUGAAUCACUGUCAAGUCCAACAGAGACACAUAGUACUUGUUUUAUUUUUUGUUUCUUUUUUGUUUUUUUUGCCGGUUUAUUUUUGUUUUUAUUUUUUUUAAUUUAGUUUAAGUAUUAUUAUGUAACUAAUUAAGAGAUCGUAAAUUUAUGGAUUAAGUAUUAUUAUGCAACUAAUUAAUAAAUUAAUGGGUUAAGUAUUAUUAUGUAACUAAUUUUAACAAUUCUUUAAUGUUAAAAAUUGGAUAAUAAAGUUUUAUAUGAUAUUAGUUUUGGAAAUUAUUUUUGUUUAGUGUUAUUAUGUAAUUAAUUAUCAAUAAAGUGUAAACUAAUAAAUAAUUACCUAAUUUUAAAAACUUAUCCGAAAUAAAACUAAUUAAAUUAUUUUUAAAAAUAAAAUUACCUAAAUUUAAAAACUGCACCGAAACAAAAUUAAUUAAUUCUUUUGCAAAUAAAAUUACUGAAAUUUAAAAACUAAAACGACACGAAAUAAAAUUAAGUAAUUUUUUUAUAUAGUAAACGAAAAUAAACUAAACUAACUAAACAACAACUAAAAUUAACAAAAUAAAACAAAAACUAACAAAUUAAAACUCAUGCAAAAAGAACAGAAAGCAUUGUGAAGUUUGCUGAUGGACUAAAAAUUGGUGGUCGAUGCACGAGUCUACGGUUCCGCGGUUCCGCGGUUCAAACCGCGGUUCCGCGGUUCAAACCAGGCCGGUUCCACGGGUUUCCGCGGUUCCGGGCCGGUUACGGUUCGGUCUUCCAUUUCCUAACCCGUAUUCGGCACGUGCUCAGUAUCGGUUCAGGUCGGUUUUGAACCGGCCCGUGUUUAGACGGUUACGGGCGGUUAAAAAGUCGGUUCGGGGCGUGCCGGUUCGGUCGGUUCGGCCCGUUUGGCCACCUCUAAUCUCAAGUAGCUAAGCAACAUUAAUAAGGGUGACACUAAGAAAGAAAGUCAAAACAAAUUAAUUUGAACAUGAGAUAGUACAAUCCAACUAAAAGGAGAGCUAAGAAAUUUAGAACCAAACUCGUUGCUGCAUAUGUAACAUUGGAUUCAGCAUGUUUAAGAGACAAGGGGCAAAACUAUUUUAAAAAAGAAAAAAGACAAAAGAUUGAAACUUUGAAUCACCCAAAAGUGAAGGCCAUCCCACCAAGUUCAAUCACUCAAUAAUGGCAUUAAUAACUCCAGCACCAACAGUCUUUCCUCCUUCUCUAAUAGCAAACCUCAUUCCUUGCUCACAAGCAAUCGGCACAAUAAGCUCCACAACCAUCUUCACACGGUCACCAGGCAUAACCAUUUUCGACUCUUCAUCCUUCUCAUUCUUAAUAGUAGUCACUUUCCCAGUGACAUCUGUAGUUCUCAUGUAAAACUGAGGCCUGUAUCCAGUGAAAAAAGGUGAAUGCCUCCCACCUUCAUCCUUCUUCAAAAUAUAUACAAUCGCCUCAAACUUUGUAUGAGGUGUAAUCGAUCCAGGCUUAGCCAAAACCAUCCCUCUCUGGAUAUCAAUCUUCUGAAUACCUCUUAACAACAACCCGACAUUAUCACCAGCCAAAGCCUCAUCAAGAAACUUCUGAAACAUUUCAACUCCAGUCACUGUUGUACCCCUAGUAUCCUUCAACCCCACAAUAUCAACGGUCUCCCCAACCUUAAUCGUCCCUCUCUCAACACGACCAGUGGCAACAGUCCCACGUCCCGUGAUCGAAAAAACAUCCUCAAUUGCCAUUAAGAAGGGCAACUCAGUCUGCCUCUGUGGAAUAGGAAUAUAACUAUCAACAUUAUCCAUCAAAGCAUAAAUCUUGUCAACCCACUCAUUGUCCCCUCUCUUAAUCGCGGGAUUCUCCAUCAGUGCUUCCAAUGCCAACAAUGCUGAUCCUGACACAAUUGGAAUAUCAUCCCCUGGAAACUCAUACUUAUUCAAUUCCUCCCUAACCUCCAACUCCACAAGCUCCAAAAGCUCGGCAUCAUCAACCUGAUCCUCUUUAUUCAAGAAAACAACCAUAUUCGGAACCCCCACUUGUUUCGCCAACAAAAUGUGUUCUUUAGUCUGUGGCAUUGGCCCAUCAGCACCCGAAACCACUAAAAUCGCUCCGUCCAUCUGCGCAGCCCCUGUAAUCAUAUUCUUGACAUAAUCAGCAUGCCCUGGACAAUCCACAUGAGCAUAAUGCCUACUCUCAGUCUCAUACUCAACAGUAGCUGUAUUAAUAGUAAUCCCACGCGCUCUCUCCUCAGGAGCAGCAUCAAUUUCAUCGUACUUCUUGGGUGCAGACCCUCCCAUAGCAGCAAGCGCCAUGGUCAACGCAGCAGUCAGAGUGGUUUUCCCAUGGUCAACGUGCCCAAUUGUGCCUAUAUUGAUAUGGGGUUUCUUCCUUUCGAAUUUCCCACGCGCUGCGCGUACGGUCAGCCUGGUGGCGCGUGAGCGAAACGGGGAGGUGGGUGUUUGAAAUUGGGAGGACAACGUUGAUGGGUUGGCGAGAAAAGAGGAGGUGAGGAUAAAUUUCCGUGAACUUGUCGGAGAAAAGGCGGAAUUAGGGUUAGGGUUUGCAGGGUUUAUGAGGUUUAUAGAAGAAGAAGAUAGAGCUGAAAUCGCCAUUUUUGCUUUAAGCAAACAAGAGGGGUUCGGAGAAUUUUGGGAGAGAUGAGAUAAUAACAAGGAGAUUGUGUGUUUUGUGUGAGUGAGUG
rnacentral:lncRNA from 1 species